AGAGGAGCCUAGAAAGAAUCUCUAGAAGAAAUCCCCAGCACCCUGGAACCUGGUAAUACUUGAAGCAAACCAGAGAAGCACUUGCAGCGAUGGUGAUCACAGGUUGAGGAAAGCCCGUCAGGACAUUGGAUUCUGUGCCCACUUCAUGGGCUUCUACAACUGGGAAGAAGACAACCUCCGACAGAACAGAAGGCCCUGGGAACAGAAGCAGUUUGGAUUAAUCCUUCCCAGUACUCGGCUGAGACGGGAGUGCCUCCAUUUUUAAGAUGAUGAUGAUGAUGAUGAAGAUGAAGAAGAAGAAGAGGAGACAUUACUGUAAAACAAACACACACACAACAGAUGCGGAAACUGGGGAUUCGCAAGGGUUUAGUAUCAAAGAAACCUUCGCUAAGAAAAUUAAGCCUAAGAAUUACUUGGUUGUUUUCUAUGUGUUCGUGGACUUCAAUGAUGAUGUAAUCUUUUCUCCUUCUGAAAUUAGGCAUUGGACUAAAUACUGGGAUCACAAAAAAGAACAAGUAUUCUCAACCACCAAGGAACUGACGAUCUAUAGGAGAGACAACAACAAUCAAAUUACUACAGCACGAAGAUUUCUGGUUCAGAUCAAGAGGCAUUACGACUUAGUGAGAAACAAGGACUUUGUAGCCAGUUCCCCAUAACCUGCAGGGUGAAAGAGCACCCAAGAAAAGGGAGGCAAGGAUGUGCAGGCCUUGGAGGGCUGACUGCUCUGGAUGUCUCUGACUGAUGUUGCACGCUCCUUGAGGUCCUGGCCACCAGGCAGUGAACAGAUUCCCUUCACCAUGCCAUUCUGUCGUAUUAUUUCUGCCUUGGAGCCAAGUGACCCUGGACUGAAUCCAAUGAAACCAGAUUCGGCAGUGAAACAUUUAUCAUCUCACAAAUGAGAAAUCAGAGGCUGGGAAAGAAAACAAAUCUUACAAGGGGUGAGGAGAUCAAGAUUCUGCAAUUGUCGAUCACAGGACAUCUAAAGCAGGACGGAUAUUUGGAUUGCAUUGUUACCUGUCAAAGAGCCAGAGCUAAACCCAACUUCCCCUCACUCAUCAGAAGGGAUGAUGCAACGCCUACUACGAAGUCACAGGUCCAGGGAGGGAUUCAACAACUGAAUACCAUAAGAGGAACAAGAGGGGAAAUAUCAACUUCAUAUAUUUGUCCUCAGAUGCAUGUUGGGUCACCAGUAAUUUUGGAUUAUGCGAAAGUGAUGUAAAAUAUAAAGUGUCCAAACUUCAUUCAGUGAGACUAACAUGUACUAAGUAGACGAAAUCCAUAUUGGAGAAAUUUUGAGAAUUUAAAAUCCACUCAGAACCAAAGAUGUGGCUGGCAAAGAGAAGUGCAGUAGAAAACUGUAGCAUGAGUGACGGCUGAAAUUGAGACAGCAGCAAAAAGCUAGAGCCCCUAAGAGCUACCUUGUUUGUCUGGUGGACAAGAAAACAUCACACAUCCUGUGGAUUUACAAGGAAGGGUCCUUCGCCUUCAUGCUUUGGGUAAGAAAAGAAAAUCUCCACUUCAGCACUGAAACUCAAAGCUGAUGCUAUAUCCAGGUAUGAAUUCUAAGCUAAUAAAUUAAAAUGUAAACAAUGAUCCAGGACAAAUGAAUCCUCAGAGGUACCCGGUAGAAGCAAAAGAAAACUGCUCUUUAGGGCUUCUAUAAUACAAGAGAAAAGGUGCAAGUUGAAAAUAAAUAUUCAUUCAUAAAACAAGCCACAAGAGGAAAUGAACCAUAGGAGAAGGAAAUAAGCAGGUACAACUAACUUAGGGAUUAGGGUUCCAGGAGCUGGAGAGAAGAGCCUAAAAAUACAGAAAGAUAAAGUAGAUGAAAAGAUGCCACAAUCGAAGAGGCAUUAACAACUAGAGAAGAUAAAUAAAUGCAUUAGAAGAUAAAAUGAGAAUAACAAAUUAAAAUUCAGUGGAGACUUCCACCUCUGGAAAGAAUGAAGCAGAUAUGCUCUCUUUUUCUCUCACUCAGUAUUGUGAAAACUCUGACAUAAGUCAGAAUAUAACUGAAGUGGGGAGAGAAGGCCAAAGAGAGAAAAACAGAUACUUUCUUGAGAGAAAAACACACAGGUGAUCUUUCAUCCACUAUUACUGUUUCUCUCCAUUACAUUUGAUUCACCUGUUCCUUUGUUCCCAGUCAUUUCUGCCAGAGAGUGUGAUUGUACGGCAUGUCUUGGUCAAUGGGUUAUGACAUUUGCCACAUACUAACAAAAGACUUAAUUGUGUUGUGUGAUUUCACAGUGUCUCUAUUGCUCCUACCUCCACCAAAAGAAAAACCUUUCUGAGAUUAUGAAUCUGUUUCCCUCUGGAUUCUGGAAUAAAAACAUCCAUGGAGUCAGUUGAGCCUAGCCCGCCUGAGAAGUGACCAGCAGAAUUGGGCCAACUAUAGAUUUUCCUACAAAGUGAGUGAGGAGGAAAUAAGUGCCUGUUUCUCAAAGUUAAUAAGACUAGGGUUGUGGGUUAUCAUAUCAAAGUUGGCCCUAUUGUGAUGCAGUAAGACAACCUAGCAUGGGUAUGGGGAUUUAGCUUAGUGGUUCUGCUGCCUGCCUCGCCACACAAGGUCUGAAGUUUGAUCCCUGGUAUCCAAAAACAAACAAAGAAAAAGACACAUCUAGCAGGUUCACAAUGAGCGGUUCUGUGUCUGUGGCUGAUGGACAGGAAGGCUAGAAAACUGAGGGAAGACCCAUCCCAGUUGUGAGUGGCACCAACCAACAGACCUGUACCAUGGAUGGAAUAAAAAAGAGAAAGAAGAGGGAACUAUGCCCGUUAUGGAGAGCUCUAGUCUGCCUCAGCGAGUCCACCCUUUGUGGAUGUCGCCCAGGGACAUUUGUCUCCAGGUUUCUAUUUUUUCAGCUUUCCAAAGCAGACUCACACAGGUGACUCUAGUGAGAGUCUCAGCCUUUGACCUUGGCCCUACAUUCCUGAUCUCUCUAGGUGUGGCCUCAUCUUCUUGGGCAGAACAACCCUCCAGCACUCCAGAAUGCAGACAGCCAUUAUGGAUUCUCCAGUCUUUUCUUGUAGGCCUACUUAGUAAAGGCCCUUGGAUAAUUGUACAUAUAGUUUUCUAUUGAUUUUGUUCCUUUAGAGAACCUUAACUUAAUACACUGAUAAACACUCUAGUCUUGGGUGUGUUCUCUGUAUACACAAUCACCCUGAACAACCUCACCUAUACUAGGAGCAAUAACAAAAUUGAGGACUCAAAAAAUAUAUAUAUAAAGUUUUUUGCCUUUCUUCUGAGCUUUAUUCAGAUUUCCAUCUUCUAGCCCUCACUCCAAAGUGGUUCAUCUCAUGAUCCUUUUCUAAAUUUUCCUUUCUGCUUAUAUCUAGCUGAAUUUACUUGCCCUAAGGUGCUUCAGCAUUACCUUUUUCAUCUUUAUUUAUAAUGUGUACCUUAGGCAAUACAGCAACUUAUCUAUGUAAUUUUUAUCACUAUGUAGGGUCUUCUCAAGAGGGAACUUCUAAUCUCUAAACUGUUACGUAGGUUGACUAUAGUGCAUAUAGUCGUGUUGUUUGAGUAUUUGCUGAAAUAAUGUGAUGGCAAAAGUACAUAUAGGAUUAAAAGAUAAUUUAUUGCUUAUGAAUAAGACAAACUAAUUCUUCACAGUUCCUUAAGCUGAGCAGUCCAAGAUCAGGGCACCUGGAAGUUCAGUGCGCUACAAGAGUCCAUUUGCUAGUUCAUUAUAGUCACCCUUUCCUGUGCCCUCACAUUGCAGGCGUGACCAGAAUAAAUACUGUCACACAUUUGGAAAAAGAAAAAUCUACAUUUUUACUCAUUUUGAAUGUCCUAUGUGACAACACAAGCGGGGAGAAAAAAGCAAAAAAUGACUAUGAUUUUAAGAUGCAACAUUUAUUUUCUACUUGGGUACAAGCAGAUAACUUUCAAUUGUAGGCAGUACAGCCCUUACUACUUGACAAAAACUCAUGAAAUUUUAUUGAUUUUUCUCUUAUUUUUAAAAAUCCUGAAUUUUAUAUUACACAGAAAUUUGCCUUUGAGGAAAGAAUGGAAAGACAGAAAGAGGGUUGGGCUUGUAUCAAAAAAUCAAUGAAUUAAAUGGAAUGUUAAUAUUUCCUUUAGUUUUAUUUAAUUUCCUUGGGGACUUUUCAUGACAUACAAGGUGCUAUCAAAGUAUGGUAAAUAUAUAAAUAACAAAACUACAGUAAAAACCCACUACCAUCAAUUCCCCUCAAAAUGCUUACCUUUACUUCAAAUACAUUCACCCUAUCAUUCUUGCCACUUGGCGAAGCAGUUCUGGAACUCUUCUUGUGUCCUUUUGUGGCUGCCUUGAUAUCCUGAAUUGACUAAAAUUCUGUCAAAUAGAAACAAUUUGGUGAGUUCUCAUCCUCCUUAUUCACCAGAGGUGGCACCAGGUGACCUCCGGCUCUUCCUCUAAGCUCUUUAAAAUGGCUGUGAAAAGUAAAUAUUCUGAAUCAACUGAGGACCUCAAGGCAGCUCCAACAACCCAACUAUAGAAUGUCAUGUAAGAGGACUUCAGAACUGUUUCAGAAAAGGCAGGAAUGGUGAGGUGUUGUCUCCAAGCCAGAGGAAUUUUUCUAAGGGAAAUUAGUGGUAAUGUGUCUUUUACUGUAUUUAAUUUUUAAAAAUUCACCAUGUUCUUGGAUGACUCUUCAUAUCUGCAGCACAGAUUGUUUUUUAGAGACAUUAAGGGACUUGCCCCAGACCACUCAUCUAACAGUGAGUAGAGCCACAUGCGAGCACAUGUUUCCUGAUUUUUCAGUUAGCACCCUUUUGGUGAUUUAUUCCGCCACUGGAUUAAGUGUCCUUACCUAUGAGCAUACUGGGAAGUUGUUAUCCAUGCUUAACUAUCUGAGGAAGAGGAAGAGUGACAGGAGCUGUGCUGUAUGAAGUAGCCAUCGCUGCUCUGGAGAGGAAUUAUCCAGCGCCACCGAGAGCAGCGAGGCUCCUGCUCCCUCAGUGGCUGCUCGUGGAUGCCUCCCCACAUUCCCAGCAGUCAGCCUAUGGUCUGCCACCCCAGUAGAAAUGUGGAUUUGAAUAUUUGAAUUGGGAGAAGCGUUUCUCAAGCAGACAGAGUGAACUAAUUUUCAGGCAUUAAUAACAUGUCCAUUUCUAUUUUCUUUCUGACAGCUACAGGACUGCAUUAAAUGCUCACUGGCCUGCUACAUUUAAUUUGAAAAAACAAAUCCACUUCUGAAGUCAUGGAAGCUGAAAACAUUAGUGGGAGGAUCAGAGCUCUGUUUUCAUCCCAAGAACAAGACAGUGGUUAUGUUCUGAAAUAUCCCACAAUAUGAACACAGUGUGAUCAUUAUUAGAAUAGGAAUAUGUCUGGAUAUUUGAAAGUAUUGUUUUUUUAUAUAGCCUUUUUUAGAGCUGACCUUCUAACAUUCUCAAUUAUUUUAAAAUUAAGUUUUAUAUUUUAAUUUUUGUACUUUGUGUUUCAUAAUUUUCUUCUGUUUAUAGGCUUUCCAGUAGGGAGCCCUGGAGCCGAUGAAAGAGGAAGGAGAGUUCCUUGGCAGUGGUGCAAUGGUUCGUCUGGUCCUAAGCAGUAGGAUCUGUGCUCCAUUAUGUAUCUCUUCUCACCUUUUCAAACACAUCAUUAUUCUGCACUUGCCAGUUCCACUUAUUAGACAGCAGUAUUUAAGAAGCAUAUUAACAUGCUCGGUUCCUGGUUGUAUUAGCUUUCUUGUUGUUGGGAUGCAGUGUCUGACUUGAUAUUUCCAUAAAGAAGGACAGGUUUAUUUUGGCUCACAGUUUCAGUGGAUUAAGUCCGUGCUUGGUCAACUCUAAGGUAACAGAUGGCGGAGGAAGGCUGCUCAUGUAAGAGCAGCCAGGAAGUAGAGAAAGAAGAAUCAGCUGGGUGGAGGGUGAACCUUGUGAGUGACACCACCAGGAAGGCCCCUUCCAACUAGGCCCCAGUUCUGAAUAUGGAACUUUUAGGGGUUCUUUUAGAUCUAAACCCUAACACUCGUGCAACAGACUUCACUGAUUUAAUAGGAACUGAGUACUCAUUGGGUGCCUUUUGAUGCUAUGAAAAGAAGGAUAAGACCAAAAAUGUUCUUGCUUCUGUGGAUCGUGUGUGUGUGUGUGUGUGUGUGUGUGUGUGUGUGUGUGUGUGUGUGUGUGAAAGAGAGAGAGGGUGUCAGUGCCAUUUCAGUCAUGAAGUAUGGAAAAGAGAUGAGGAAAUCAUCUCUUUUAGACAGAGUAACCAAAGAAAAAUAAAAUUCAAUUUGAAUUGAGUCCUGAAUUAUGAGAAAAUAUCAAAGGAAGGGCCAAGCGCAGAUGCUGGGAGCAGAAGGAUCACUAACAACUGGUAAAAAUUCCAGAAAAAGAAUGAUAACCAGUGGCUCUGCAGUUCAAAAAACCAGGGGAAUAAGAGUUCAAUGGGAGUUCACAUCAUUUAUGAAAAUGUCGUGAUGGUGAGGGUUUUGCAUUUCAUUCUAUUUGCAAUUGUAAUUCAGUGAUGAUAUUUAACUAGGGGAGGAAUGCAGUGAUAAAAAAUGAAAUUUUAAAUUCUAGAAACUGAAGCUCAGAACUGUUUUAAAAGUACAGGAUCAGCUGUAAUUUUGAACGGUGAUGCAAUGAUGUUGUACAUUUUCUCUUCCACCUCUCCUUUUCCCUCCAGAGGUUCUGUGAUUUGGCUUAAUAUUUAUGCUAUGGCAAGAAUCAAGGCUGCUCAGAACCCCUCUGGCCUUGUGGUUUUCCUGCAUAUGUCAGUCAAACAGGAUGCCAAAUGGCAAUUGAAAUAAGCACAGUGUAUCAGUUCAAUCAUGGGAGCAUUUUCUUCGUACUAGGAGGCAGUGAAUACCAAGUGAAUUUGAUGAAUAGUGUAAUUAUUCACUAACUGUGAUGGUGUGGAAACCCAGACAGACUCACAAGAGGACAGUCCCUCGGGCAGGCAUGCCCAGAAUCACAGAUCAUGGAUUCCCCUGCAGCCUGUGUUCCUUGGCAAUAGAACACGCUCUCAAGUGUGCUGGCAGGACCAUGUGGCCAUCUGUCCUAGACCAAAGGGUUUCUGUGAUAUCGUGUCAUUCAGUUUAAACUGUUCAUGAAUAAAGGGGGAAAAAACUUUAACAUUCCCACCUCCUUAUCUGAAAAGAAAAAAGAUACCUGGGCGAACUGCAUGCAAAAUAUAUCAUUCUGAGAUAGCUUGAAAGUAGCAAUCUUAAAAGUUAAAUUCAGACUUCAAGUUCAGAACAUCUGAUUUGUAGUUGCUGUGUUUCCAUGGUUAUUUAGCUUCUAUUGGUUCAGCAAACAUUAAGCUACUGUUAACCUCUAUUUGAGGAUAUUUGAAUAUCUAUCCCAUCUGAGAUGUGAUUCUUUUCACUAAUGUUGUACAGUUCUAAGAAACUGAGAGAUGUAUGUAUGAUUAUGAGAUUUUGAAAGUUUAAACUUUUCCUUUUAAAUAUUUUGUUUUAAAUCUCUGUUUAUGGAAUCUCUGCAAAGUUUAGGGGUCACUUUACUACUACAGGUUAUAAAUAUAAACUCAAUAGUCUUCCUUCUAAGAUUGGGUAGGGGGCACACAUGGUCACUGGACUCUUUCUGCAGGUAUUGUACCUGCUGUGCAGAAGGGCUUGCUGAAAGAUACAAAGGGCACUAGAAGAGGUGUUUACAGGAGAACUAACUUCACUUCAAUAAAGUAUAUUUUAGCAUUUACUUUCUGCUUACUAAAAAAUUCAGGGGGAGGCUUUGGUCCUUCCCUACGUGGGUCAUAUGUUUUUGGAGAGAUAUGCAUAUAAUUAAUUUUGCUAAAAUUUAAGCUGACAAAUGCAUAUUACAGAAGUAGGCUAAGGGAUGGUAGAAAAAAUAUAACAUUUUAAAACAAGAUUUUAUCCCAUAUACAUUGAGGAACCCUCCAUAAGUUUUAAAAAGAAAAUAGUCAUAUUUCUUUUCUGCAAAGAUCGAUUGGGAAUCAGUAUAGAAUAAAGAAUAUAUUGGAAGAAGGUUGAAGCCGGAUGUAGAAAGACAAAAUCACCUGGUUAAAUCAACCAAAUCAGAGCUAGAACUAGGUCUAGGUUCAGGGCUCUGGAUCCUGAGCCAAUUGCUUGUUUAUUUUUGUUUUUGUUUUUGAGACAGGGUCUCACUAUGUAGUUGAGACUGAACU